rnacentral:rRNA from 1 species
GAAAGAUGGUUUCGGCUAUCGCUUACAGAUGGGCCCGCGGUGCAUUAGCUAGUUGGUAGGGUAAUGGCCUACCAAGGCAACGAUGCAUAGCCGACCUGAGAGGGUGAUCGGCCACACUGGGACUGAGACACGGCCCAGACUCCUACGGGAGGCAGCAGUAGGGAAUCUUCCGCAAUGGACGAAAGUCUGACGGAGCAACGCCGCGUGUAUGAAGAAGGUUUUCGGAUCGUAAAGUACUGUUGUUAGAGAAGAACAAGGAUAAGAGUAACUGCUUGUCCCUUGACGGUAUCUAACCAGAAAGCCACGGCUAACUACGUGCCAGCAGCCGCGGUAAUACGUAGGUGGCAAGCGUUGUCCGGAUUUAUUGGGCGUAAAGCGCGCGCAGGCGGUCUUUUAAGUCUGAUGUGAAAGCCCCCGGCUUAACCGGGGAGGGUCAUUGGAAACUGGAAGACUGGAGUGCAGAAGAGGAGAGUGGAAUUCCACGUGUAGCGGUGAAAUGCGUAGAUAUGUGGAGGAACACCAGUGG